GCGAAAAGCUCGAAACCGGUUCUGAGCGUACAGAAUGGCCGGGUAGCCGGUCAGCAUGUAUAUACGAUUGGCUACGACUUUCUAAACUUCCGUCGCACAGCUAAACGUACGCUUAAACCGUGUGCUUUAUUUUUCAUUUUUCUCUACCGACAUGUCACGGUGAAAAUGUCUGAAAAGAAUUUACCUCGUUACGUCGAGCAUUGACGCUACACGCGUGAUUAGUAAUUUCACGAAAAUAUUAUGCUAUUACGACGCUUAAUAAUGGAGCGUGAAAAUGAAACGAAUGUAGAAAUAUAGAAAAUUAUAAUAGAAAGAAACAUUUUAUUAGUUUAUUUAUUUUUAUACGAUAUAGAGCAGAAUUUCACUUCUUCGAUUCUUAAAAAUUUCAACCUGUUUGUUUACGUUUCUGAUAACACUAGGCACAAAUUCCAAGAAACAAUGGAAGAACGAAAGAAAAACGAAACAACAGCUUUGAAUGAUGAUAUCAUACUGUUUAUGCGAACCUCGUCAUUAGCAUACUGCGAAAUAUUUAGAAAUUAAAUAUUAAAAAUUUUUAUAUUCUAAUAUAUAUAUAUUUUGGAUAUAUUUGAAGAUGCUGUUCAUUUCGUAUUUCGAAAUAAUAUAUGAAAUGAUAGAAAAGAAAAAACAAUUGGAAGAAAAACGCCAAUCGAAGCGCGUAAAUUUUCUAACGCGUAACAUACGCUAGAGUCGACACAUCACGGCAUGUUGGCGUCGUCGCGGCACACGUGUAUUUACUAUUUAUGACAAAGGAUACAGCAGUUGUACGAGAAUAAACCAACCGUUAUUGCACUUCGUGCCAAACGCCAUGCAACUUUUGCACGCUACUAGCAUUCUUAAUUGCACCGGACAACGGUUCAUAUUCACGAUACUUUUCGUUCUAAGCGACUAAACCGGCAGAAAGUUAGACGCCUACAUGCCAUGCAUACGACGCGUAAACGCUCUAAUGGACACUACGACAGCGUGUGAUAUGGAAUAAGUACAAUUGUUCAGCAGACUGCGUGACGCUAUACACCGUGGGCGUGGCAAAAUCAAGUUGUUAAUAAAGCAAUCUAUCAUAAUA